CAAAAACAAACGCUCCUCCUCUGCCAAGCCAAAAACCCCCACGAAUGCUCCUCCUUUGCCAAAACCCCCUGAAACGAUCCUCUGCCGAAACCCACCACCAAAAUGCAUGAAACCCUAACUCCUCCGCCGAAACCCACUGCCUCCCCGAAAACUCAUCUCAACGAAAAACCUAGCCUCCAAAACUCAUCUCUGCAAAAUCCCUCCUCCACCCCAAAACCCAUCUAUGCCAAUGGCGACAGCCGCGACGGUUUCUUCCCCGGCAAUCUUCCCUCUCCAAUCCUUCGCCAGGAAUGGCCCUUCCCGAGCUCCUCACGUCUCUUUCAACGUCUCACUCAUCCGUUCACCUUGCUUUCCCGUUUCUUCCAAGAAGCACAGGGCAAUGACUGUAGUUGGAGCUCUACCGAGGCUGGCUCCUGUGCUCCCAGAAAAGGGAUUUGGUCAAUUAGAGGGCUCCAGAGUAUGCAAUGAGAGGUUACUUGACAGACAAAGCAAUGUAUAUGGUUUUGGUGUGGUGACAUUAGAAAUUGUCAGUGGAUGAGCAACACUAAUUAUAGGCCCAAGGAGGAAUUUGUUUAUUUUCUUGAUUGGCUUAUGUUUUGCAAGAGCAUGGAAAUUUGCUUGAAUUAGUUGACCAAAGUCUUGACUCCAACUACUCAAAGGAGAAAGCACUGCAAAUGUUGGAACUGUCUCUUGCUUGCACCGACCUCUCCCCAAUGCUUAGGCCUGCAAUGUCAUCACUUGGUGGAAACUCUUGAAUAUCUAAUGUUGCCCUAUCAUUAACUUCUUUUCUCCAGGAAUUUGAAGCAUUUGUUGGCUUGUUACUACUACGUACAACUAUUGUUGGUGUAACCUGAGAGUGGCAGGCAAAAGCUCUGUGCAAACUUGUUUCUUUGAUCAAAUGCACCUUAUA